UCCCUGGUGGCUCAGACGGUAAAGCAUCUGCCUGCAAUGCGGGAGACCCGGGUUUGAUCCCUGGGUUGGGAA
rnacentral:tRNA from 1 species